rnacentral:rRNA from 1 species
GACGUAGGGCGCGAGCGUUGUCCGGAUUUAUUGGGCGUAAAGAGCUCGUAGGCGGCUUGUCGCGUCGACUGUGAAAACCCGCGGCUCAACUGCGGGCCUGCAGCCGAUACGGGCAGGCUAGAGUUCGGUAGGGGAGACUGGAAUUCCUGGUGUAGCGGUGAAAUGCGUAGAUAUCGAGAGGAACACCUGCGGCGAAGGCGGGUUGCUGGGCUGACACUGACGCUGAGGCGCGAAAGCUAGGGGAGCGAACGGG